rnacentral:rRNA from 1 species
UUUUGAUUAUUAUUUUAGGUUUGGCCUGCUCAAUGAUUAAUUAAAUUGCCGCGGUAUAUUGACCGUGCAAAGGUAGCAUAAUAAUUAGUUUUUUAAUUGGAAGCUGGAAUGAAUGGUUGGACGAGAAAAUGACUGUCUCUGUUUUAUUGUUAGUUGAAUUUAAUUUUUUAGUUAAAAAGCUAAAAUGUUUUUAAAAGACGAGAAGACCCUUUAGAGUUUAAUUAGUGUUGUAUAUAAAUGAGUUGGUAUUUUUUAAGUAUGUUUAAUGUUAAUUUGGUUGGGGUGAUUUUAAGAUUUAAUAAACUCUUUAAGUAAAAUCAAUGAUUUUUGAACAUGUUAUCUAGAUUUUCUAAAUUUAAAAUAAAUUACCUAAGGGAUAACAGCGUAAUUCUUCU